ACCGACCUGAUGACACUGAUGUGGAACUGGUCCUCGCGAAGGCCUCGCCAGGCUCCGGGCAGGAAUUCCUUACACCACAGGUACCUGAGCCCUGACAUUUUUGCUAUCAAAAUACUAAAGAACCACAGGAGGGACUGCCUAGUUCUCCUGGGAUGAAAGGGUCUCAUUUAACCCAGAUGAGCUGCUGGCCUUGAUCACCCAAUGUAGAUGAGGAUGGCCUUGAACACCAAGUCAACUUUCUUCUACCUCUCAAGUGCACUGUGUGUACAACAUACAUAGCUUCCAAUAACAUUUCAGUAAGAAUUUAGACUGUAAGAUUUCACCAAAUUAGUUCUUCAGUUCUCUACGUACAGCUGCAUACAAGAGGCUAUGUAGUGGUCAAUACCAGAGGAGAAAGACAGCAUCAUUGUUUGGUUUGUUUUUAUAUUUAUUUAUUGAUUGAUUGAUUGAUUGAGACAAGAGUUCUCUGUGCCCUGGCUAUCCUGGAACUCACUGUUUACACAGUGGGAUGGUGGCAGCGGGGAUGUAGGUCCUCACAGAAUAUAUGGCUAACCUGCAAGGUCCUCAGCUCCACCCUCAGCAUCACGGAAAAAGUUAAACUCACUCAAAAGACACAGAAAAAUAAGCUAGAUACGACUGAAAUGGAGGCAGGUGCACACACAGACUGAGAGUUAGCAUGUGUGUGUGUGUGUGUGUGUGUGUAGAGGUCAGAGGACAACUUUUUCCUUCCAUCAUGUGGAUUUCAGGAAUCAAAUUCAGGCCAUCAAGUUUUGCAGCAACUGCCUGCCUAUCAAGCCAUCUCACUUGACUGAUGUAGGCAUUUUUAACAGGGUUUGUGUGUCCUUUACUUUCUGAAACAUGUUCAUUCCAAUCUCAGAUGUCGUCCAAGUACCCAAGUUUUCACUGUUCACCAUGUCAAACUACUUAAAAGCUAAAAUCAACAUAAAAUAACUCUACUUAUCCUAUUUUCCCUGGGGUGUGCCUCUCCUGAGAUGACCUUUGUUUCUCAGUCUCUAACUAGACUGCCUCAUAAACAAAGCC
ensembl:processed_transcript Gm16066 predicted gene 16066